UGGCUUCCUGACAGUUUACUUUUCAUAAGACUCUGCGUAAGUUCUGAAAAUUCUCACAUCACCAGAGUGACAGAGAUCCACCUAUUAGUAUCUGAAUAAUAAGUCAUCGACUUUUUUUUUCAAGCUGAAAAUAUCUUUAUUUAAGACAUUUUAUUUGAAAACACUCUGGGUUGUAACUAUCCCAAACAAGCAAUAAAUGCACAUAAAUUAUCUGUGGUAAUGAUUCACUCUUAGGCUACAUUCCUUAGCAACUCUGAACUCAAGAGAAUGAACACAUAUUUCAAGUGUCCGAAUUAAGUAGAAUUACGAAAAACUGGAGAGCAAAAUAUUUUUUUAAAGGAUGAAAAUGUCUAAACCCAUGCAAGGUCAAGCUGAAAUGACCUUUACUUGGGCAGGGUCCUGUGGUCUGUACUCUGCUGCUGCCUUCCUUUCACACGGUGAUGCCACCUAUUCGCCAAGCGGAUUCAGUGUCUGAAUCUAGAAAUGUGGUUCAAGCCAGAAGGUUUUCUGAUCAUGAAAGAAGCAUUUCUCAUCUUGUCUAAACUACACCCUCUUUAAAAAUCAUAACUGUAAAACUUCCUGUAACAUACCCGGAGUUCUGAAUAAAUAAUAGUAAACCAAAGUAACUUUAAAAGUUUAAAUUUUUCCCUUUUAAAGUUUUGCUUUACACAUCAGUCAUGUGGGAUUGAUGUUAACCUUGUGCCUGGUUGCUGGCUACAAGCCUUUCUCUUCCAGGUCACUGAGGAGGGCAGAUAAGUAAGAGUUUAUUUUCAACAUCAACUCUCUCUGCUGCUUGUUCAAGUGAUAUGCAUGUAUGUCCUGGGGCUUCUCUGGUUGGGGCGGGUGAGAGGUAAAACAAGCAGGCUUCUUCCCUUGGGACUCGGGACAAUCUGUAACCCACUGCUGGCCUCAGGCAUGGGGAGGGAUACAGGAUUUCACUUCACCUUCAAGCCAUCCUUCUUCUAGUCCUUGGGGUUUCGUGCGCCUAUUGAUCUUGUAGCUGCCCAGCUGCCCAUUGCAGUGGCGGAUGAGGUCGUCCAUGCUGCUCAUGAGCAGCCCGAGGGUUUCGCAGCCAGGCUCCUUGCCCUCCACCCAGGUGAUCUGGUCGCCCCGGAUGUCCUUGGACGAGUCGCUCUUCUGGCUGACCAGCUGCCCGUCCGUGAACUUGCCGGUGUCGUGCAGCGCGCGUCUCGCGGCCCAGGAAGUCGUCUGUCACGCAGAUGCCGUGCUUGUUCAUGCACGGCACGAUGUACUGGAGCGCCAGCUUCAGCGCGGUCAGCGGCUUCGUCUGCCCGUUGGGCCGCGGUCCCCUGGUGCCGCCGCCAGGGUUCAGCGCCUCCCCGGGGCUCAGCAGGGUGCGCCCGGCGAACACCGGGUGGGGGAGCCUCGAGGUCGCGGCGGCCUCUGCUGGGGCCCCCAGCGGCGUCCCCGGGGACGGACACUGACAUGGGAUCGGCGCCGUCCCCGCGCAGUCCCGCCGUUGUCCGGGCCGCUCCCCCAACCCCAGGAGCCCCUUUGGGCCUGGCCUCGCCGCUCUGGCACACGAGCUUGUGCUUCUUCCAGUCCCGGCGCUGGUGCUCCUUGGAGCAGUAGAAAGAGCUCCGGCAGCGGCCGCAGCACAGCAGGUUCUCUAUCUUCCCGCACAGCUCGUAGUACUGGCGCUUGCGCUCGCUGGCGCUUGGCCCGCUGAGCCCGCCGCUGUCACUCGCCUUGGCAGAGCAGGCCGGGCGGCCGGCCCGGGGCGGCAGAGGGGCCGUUAGAGCGUCCGUCAGAGCGUCAUGCCGGGCCGCGCGCUCCGGAGACCCUCAGCGCCGCAUCGCGGCCCGCACGACCACAUCAUAGCUAUCAAGAAUACUGAAGGCAUUGAACUUGAACUGGGCCACAUUCUUCUGUGAAAAACGGAGGCUGACAUACGUACUGUCUUUGAUACACCUGAUAGGGGAAAAAAAAUCCAGGCCAAAAAGAUUAACUUAAGGUGUUGGGUAAUUUAUCUCAGCAAUGAGAAAAAUAAGUAAGACAAAUUUUGGUACUGGGACUGGGGCUGUUGCUGUGAUACUACCUGGACAUGUGGUUCAAGAGUCUUUGGAACUGUCUUGCAGGAAGAAUUUGGAAAGGUUUGGAGGUGCUAGUUGAAGAAGCAGCCCUAGAAUGCUGUAAAAUGAACUUGAUGGGAGAUUCUGGUCAGAGCUCAGAAGACCAGAAUGCUGACAGAAAUGUAACUGGUGAAGACCAGGCUCAGGAGGUUUCAGUUAGAAGCAAGGACUGCAUUGGCUAUUGGACUCCAGACCACAUGUGUUAUCCUUUGGCAGAAAAUGUGUCUGCUUUUUUUUUUUCUUGUUCAGAGAUGCUCCCUAUGACUGAGAUUAAGGGUGGUAGACUAAUUAAUCUGGUGGAAGAAAUUUCAAGACACUCUAAUGUUGAGGCAGUGCCAUGGCUACUGUUGGGGACUUUUAGCCAGACUUAUGUUGAAAAGCCAAAGCAAAGAGUUGAAAAGAAUGAUUUUAAAUGCUUUAAGUUUGGCUAGAAAGGAAGUUCUAGUAAAGUUGUGGACUGAAUAGAUAGAGCAGAGGAAAACUUGGUUGCUGGAAAGGAACAGGACAAUAGAAAAGAUGGCCUGAGGACAUCACAAGAACCAGAAGGACUCCUUCCUCUGCAGCCUCAAAAUUGUAAAGGUGAAAAACUUUGCUUUGAGAAGAGAGCCCCAAAUCACCAGAUCCCAGAAUGGCAGUGGUGUAGGGAAUUUGUUCCUCAGGAAUGGGUGCAUAGCAUUCAGCAACUCAGGCACUUGACCCCCACAACCAAGAGAGAAGGAAGUCUAGCUACCACUCCAACUGGUGGCAGACCUUGGUGUCAUUCACACAGUACUGGUUUUAGGUGCAUGCAGAAUGCAAGAACUAUGGGGUCAGGGCUUCCACCUAGAUUGCAGAAGAAGGCCUGGGAGGCCAGGAAGUGUGCCCCUGAGAGGGCAGUGUGUGAAUCUGUGAGUGUGAAGCUGAAGGUGCAGUGGAGAACCCAGAAGGCUGGAGAAGCCAGGAAUGUUGAUUGUGUGAGGAGAGCUGCAAGGGAUGACCAAAGCCUGCCCAGGAGAGAAGCCAUGAGAGCUGUAACCACUGAUGGUGCCAUAGGGGCAGAGCCACCAAAGCUCUUUGGAGUUCACAUCUUGCCCCAGAUUGCCCCAGAUUGUCCCAGAUACUGGAUAUGGAUCUACAGGACUUAAUGUUUGCCCUGCUGGAUUUUGGACUUGCUUUGGUCUCACUCCUUUGUAUCCUUCUAUUUCUACCUUUUGGAAUGGCAAUGUUUAUAUUGUGCCAUUGUAUGUUGGAAGUGUUUAACUUUGUUUUCAUUUGUACAGGGAUUUGGAGCUAAGAGUUUGCCUUAAUCUCAUAGGAGACUUUAGACUUGGACUUUUCAGCAAUGCUGAAACUAGUAGGACUUUGGCAACUCUUCGAGAUGGACUAAAUGCCUUUUGCAUAAAGGGAUACAUAUGAGUCUUUUGGAGGCCAGGGGAAAUGUUAUGGUUUGUAUCUAGAUGUCUCCCUAAAGUCUCAUGCAUUCAUAACAGGAUUUUUGGAAGUGGCUAGGAUGUGUGAUUCUGGGAUAAAGGGUGUGUGAUAACUAAAUGAGUUUUAGUAAAGUUCUGGGUGUGGAUAAUGGAAGCCUCAACCUGGGUGUGGGUGGCACCAAUCAAUAGGCUUAUAGCCUGGAUGGACUAUAAAGUGAUAGAGGAAAGGCAGGUUGCUUUGGUUCACUGCUUGGCUACCUUCUGCCUUCCAUGCCAUGAAUUGUUUCUUCUCUGCCAUGUCCAUCUGCCUGUCACCCCACCUUGGAGCCAGCUGACUAUAAACUGAAACCUUUACACACUGUGAGCCCAAAUAAACCUUUCUUUUGUUAACUUGUGGGUGUUGGGUAUUUUGUCCCUGCAACAAAAAAGUUACAAAAACAGUCAGUAACUGACAGGCCCAGCAAGCAUAAAAUCAGUCAUAAUACAGGUGACCCAAAGAACACUAUGAAUUCACUGGAUCUAAUUAGAAUAUAUAUAUAACACUCCAUCCAAUGACAGCAGAAUACAUAUUCUUCUCAAGCCCAC
ensembl:lncRNA